CUCCUCUCCUGUUACACACCUAACACGCCCUGCCAUGAACACGGUCAGGUUCCUCAAGGGCAGGGGUCAUAUCCUUUGCAACUUUUAUUUCCAGAGAAUGAAGCACAUUCUACACCGAACAGUGUAAAAAGGAAGAAUAAAUUAGAUGCAACGUUAUUUUGAAGUGAACCAAUGCCCCCCAUGUCUACUUUCUUUUUACCAUUGAUAUUUACUGGUACUCAUAUUUAAACGUCAUGACUAUUAGUCAUUAAGGUGGAUGAAGGAUUUACUCCAAGCACCAGCGGGUAAAAGUUUUCAAAAGUAACUGCCAACGAGAAGCCUUUCUGACACGGAUUAACCCACUUUCCUCCGAACAAGGAAUCAGACCACCACGCAGGCUCCCCAUGGAUGGCGCAGGUCACCGCUGUCAGCAGUCCUGGAUGCUGCGUAAUACCUGACGCCCUCAGAUGCCGGGCGUGAGCGGGGCUGGUGGCUCCCGCCCCAAGACCCCCAGGGCGCUGUGCACUGCGCGGGCUCCGGCCACCGCUUCCCCCACCUCCCACUGCCAGGCCGCCCCGCUGGAGAACCUGUCUCUACGGUCACCCCUCUGAACGGUGCUGCCGAAGCGGCGUCCUCCAGAACCGCGCGGCGCUGCGGUCGGAGCGCGCAGCAACCCGGGUGGAGGGCCGGGACCGAGGGGCGCUCCCGCGGUCACAGCCAUGCUCUCCCGUACGGGGGCCAGUGAACGCGCGCCAGUCUAGGCGUUGUGCUGCCCGCAAAGUGUCUCACUGGGAAUAACCCUGGAGCUUCGUAUGGAGACCACGGUGCUGCAGAGAGCGUGCUUCCAGAUCCAGAGGCUCAGCUGCGGCGACAGAAGAGGCCCACAUGCUGGACCACUUAGUGCUGAAGAAGGAGGCUCUGGGUCCAAACUGAGUCACAUCCCCACCCUGCCAGGGAUGAGCUGUGUGACCUUGACGUCUAUGAAACGUAACACGGGAUAGGAGGCCCUGGUCCUCAGCACCAUCAUCUGCUGGGAAUUGCUGGUCAGCUUCAAGCAGCGGGGAGCCCUUUCCCCUGUGUCUCACUGCACAGUUCCUCUAACUCUGGUCCAGCUUUUUCCAGCUUCAACUUGUCCUGAGCUUCCUUCUCCUCUAAACGUCCCAUUUUCCAUUCCGAACCGAGCUGGUUUCCCACUCCCUUCUCCCUGUACCCAGGAGGGAGACACACGUGAUCUGAGCUUCUGUCUGUGUCUUGCGGGCAGCUGGAUCUGGCAGUCUCCGUGCCUAUGGACCCCUGCCGUGGGCGGACAGGACAGCCACUUUCAACAUUGUUCUUCAGACAUACUCACCACUGUGAUUAUACAAGCUACGCAUGCGCACGGUGACCCAGGUAUUGGUGGAAUUCAGAAUCUUCGUGAAGGGAAACUUACAGGUUUUGCACAGCAAAGGAAACUGUAAACAAAAUGAAACGACAACCUACAGACUGGGAGAAAAUAUUUGCAAACGAUGCGACCAUCAAGGGCUUAAUUUCCAAAACAUACAAACAGCUCAUAGAACUCAAUAAUUUAAAAAAAACAAAACCCAAUUGAAAAAUGGGCAGAAGACCUAAAUAGACAUUUCUCCAAAGGAGUCAUACAGACGGCCAAGAGGCACAUGAAAAGAUGCUCAGUAUCACUAAUCGUUAGAGAAACGCAAAUCAAAAGUACAAUGAGGUACCACCUCACACCGGUCAGAAAGGCCAUCAGCAAAAAGUCUACAAGUAAUAAAUGCCAGAGAGGGCGUGGAGAGAAGGGAGCCCUUGUGCACCGUUGGUGGGAACGUGAAGUGGUGCAGCCACGGUGGAGAACAGUAUGGCGGUUCCUCAAAAAACUAAAAAUAGAGUCACCAUAUGAUCCAGCAAUCUCACCGCUGGGCGUAUAUCCACAGAAAACUCUAAUUUGAAAAGAUACACGCACCCCAGUGUUCAUAGCAGAGCUAUUUACAGUAGCCAAGACAUGGAAGCAACCUAAAUGUCCAUUGACAGAUGAAUGGAUAAAGAAGAUGUGGUAUAUAUAUAUAUAUAUAUAUAUAUAUGUGUGUGUGUGUGUGUGUGUGUGUGUGUAUACACACACACACACACACAAACACACAAUGAAAUGUUAGCCAUAAAAAAGAAUGAAAUAAUGCCAUUUGCAGCAACGUGGAUGGACAUAGAGAUUAUCAUACAAGUAAGUCAGAGAGAGACAAAUAUCAUGUGAUACCCCACUUAUACGUGGAAUCUAAAAUAUGACAGAAGUGAACUUACCUAUGAAACAGAAACAGACAUAGAAAACAAAGUUAUGGUUGCCAAAGGGGAAGGGUAGGAGGAGGGAUAAAUUAGGAGUUUGGGAUUAGCAGACCCAAACUACUAUAUAAAAAACAGAUAAACAACAAGGACCUACUGUACAGCACAGGGAAAUAUAUUCGAUAUCCUGAAAAAAAGGAAAAAAAACCUUUGUGAAGGGAAGAAUAGCCAACGUCAUGUGAAUAAUGAAGUGUCAGCCGUUUAAAAAUCUCAAACAAGUGCCGUUUUACAAGAAAAAUAAUAAAUGUAGUGUGUUAGGGUUCCCCACAGAAGCGUCACCAAUAAUCAGCAGGGUAACAGGGUGUGUGUGUGUGUGUCUGCGUAUCUAUAUAUCUGUUGUAUAUUGAGAGAGAGGGAAAUAUUUAUUUUAAGGAAUUAUUUUACACAGUUAUGGGGGCUGGU